UGAGUUGGCCGGAUGGUCGCAACGCAACUAGUUGUGUUGAGGAAGGUCGGGGCUCCUAUGGACAAAACGCUGACGAGAGUCAGGAUGGAGCGAUCUAUCGAUAAGGGCAGCAGAAAGUAAACCGCCGAUGGCCUUCAUGGCACAGGUAAGGGUGAAACGGUGUGGUAAGAGCGCACCAGCAUCUGAAGUGAUUUAGAUGGCUAGGUAACCUCCGUUUGGAGCAAGGUCAAGUGUGGAACAUGGGUCGUUCAUCCCAAUUGCUAGAAAUGGCGAUAGUUCCCAGGUGGACCGCAAAGAUGGAUGAUCAUCAAAGAAGUAAUUGGAAACAAUCUUCCGAACAGAACCCCGCCUAUAGGCCAACUCACCUG
rnacentral:RNase_P_RNA from 1 species